rnacentral:rRNA from 1 species
UACGUAUGGUGCAAGCGUUAUCCGGAUUUACUGGGUGUAAAGGGAGCGCAGGCGGCGCGUUAAGCCUGGUGUGAAAGCCCGCGGCCCAACCGCGGGACUGCAUUGGGAACUGGCGCGCUGGAGUGCCGGAGGGGCAGGCGGAAUUCCUAGUGUAGCGGUGAAAUGCGUAGAUAUUAGGAGGAACACCAGUGGCGAAGGCGGCCUACUGGACGGUGACUGACGCUGAGGCUCGAAAGCGUGGGGAGCAAACAGG